rnacentral:rRNA from 1 species
CCUACGGGUGGCAGCAGUGAGGAAUAUUGGUCAAUGGCCAGAAGGCUGAACCAGCCAUGCCGCGUGAAGGUCAGUGCCCUAUGGGCGUUAAACUUCUUUUGUGCGGGAGCAAUAAUGGUCACGUGUGGCCAGACGAGAGUACCGUACGAAUAAGCAUCGGCUAACUCCGUGCCAGCAGCCGCGGUAAUACGGGGGAUGCAAGCGUUAUCCGGAUUUAUUGGGUUUAAAGGGUGCGUAGGCUGUGAGGUAAGUCAGCGGUGAAAUGCCCCCGCUCAACGGGGUGAAGUGCCAUUGAUACUGCCUGGCUGGAAUGCGGAUGCGGUGGGAGGAAUGUGUGGUGUAGCGGUGAAAUGCAUAGAUAUCACACAGAACACCGAUUGCGAAGGCAUCUCACGAAUCCGCGAUUGACGCUGAUGCACGAAAGCGUGGGUAUCAAACAGGAUUAGAUACCCUAGUAGUC